CGGAGUCGUACCGGUACCCGUAGACUUGCACCUCGGAGCGGAUGAGGGAGCUUGCUCUCUGAUUCAGCGGCGGACGGGUGAGUAAUGCCUAGGAAUCUGCCUGGUAGUGGGGGACAACGUUUCGAAAGGAACGCUAAUACCGCAUACGUCCUACGGGAGAAAGCAGGGGACCUUCGGGCCUUGCGCUAUCAGAUGAGCCUAGGUCGGAUUAGCUAGUUGGUGGGGUAAUGGCUCACCAAGGCGACGAUCCGUAACUGGUCUGAGAGGAUGAUCAGUCACACUGGAACUGAGACACGGUCCAGACUCCUACGGGAGGCAGCAGUGGGGAAUAUUGGACAAUGGGCGAAAGCCUGAUCCAGCCAUGCCGCGUGUGUGAAGAAGGUCUUCGGAUUGUAAAGCACUUUAAGUUGGGAGGAAGGGCAGUAAGUUAAUACCUUGCUGUUUUGACGUUACCGACAGAAUAAGCACCGGCUAACUUCGUGCCAGCAGCCGCGGUAAUACGAAGGGUGCAAGCGUUAAUCGGAAUUACUGGGCGUAAAGCGCGCGUAGGUGGUUUGUUAAGUUGGAUGUGAAAGCCCCGGGCUCAACCUGGGAACUGCAUCCAAAACUGGCAAGCUAGAGUAUGGCAGAGGGUGGUGGAAUUUCCUGUGUAGCGGUGAAAUGCGUAGAUAUAGGAAGGAACACCAGUGGCGAAUGCGACCACCUG
rnacentral:rRNA from 2 species